rnacentral:misc_RNA from 1 species
GAUGAAGAACGUAGCGAAAUGCGAUAAGUAGUGUGAAUUGCAGAAUUCAGUGAAUCAUCGAAUCUUUGAACGCACAUUGCGCCCCUUGGUAUUCCAUGGGGCAUGCCUGUUCGAGCGUCAUUUGUACCUUCAAGCUUUGCUUGGUGUUGGGUGUUUGUCUCGCCUCUGCGUGUAGACUCGCCUUAAAACAAUUGGCAGCCGGCGUAUUGAUUUCGGAGCGCAGUACAUCUCGCGCUUUGCACUCAUAACGACGACGUCCAAAAGUACAUUUUUACACUCUUGACCUCGGAUCAGGUAGGGAUACCCGCUGAACUUAAGCAUAUCAAAAGCGGAGGA